rnacentral:rRNA from 1 species
AGAGUUUGAUCCUGGCUCAGGAAGUCGUAACAAGGUAACCAUAGAGUUUGAUCCUGGCUCAGAACGAACGCUGGCGGCGCGCCUAAUACAUGCAAGUCGAGCGAGAAGACGUAGCAAUACGUUUGUAAAGCGGCGAACGGGUGAGGAAUACAUGGGUAACCUACCCUCGAGUGGGGAAUAACUAACCGAAAGGUUAGCUAAUACCGCAUACGACUCCUGGUCUGCGGAUCGGGAGGGAAAGCGAUACCGUGGGUAUCGCGCUCUUGGAUGGGCUCAUGUCCUAUCAGCUUGUUGGUGAGGUAACGGCUCACCAAGGCUUCGACGGGUAGCUGGUCUGAGAGGACGAUCAGCCACACUGGCACUGCGACACGGGCCAGACUCCUACGGGAGGCAGCAGUAAGGAAUAUUGCGCAAUGGGCGACAGCCUGACGCAGCGACGCCGCGUGGGGGAUGAAGGUCUUCGGAUUGUAAACCCCUUUCGGCAGGGAAGAUGGAACGGGUAACCGUUCGGACGGUACCUGCAGAAGCAGCCACGGCUAACUUCGUGCCAGCAGCCGCGGUAAUACGAAGGUGGCAAGCGUUGUUCGGAUUUACUGGGCGUACAGGGAGCGUAGGCGGUUGGGUAAGCCCUCCGUGAAAUCUCCGGGCCUAACCCGGAAAGUGCGGAGGGGACUGCUCGGCUAGAGGAUGGGAGAGGAGCGCGGAAUUCCCGGUGUAGCGGUGAAAUGCGUAGAGAUCGGGAGGAAGGCCGGUGGCGAAGGCGGCGCUCUGGAACAUUUCUGACGCUGAGGCUCGAAAGC